AUUGAACGCUGGCGGCAGGCCUAACACAUGCAAGUCGAGCGGAUGAAGGGAGCUUGCUCCUGGAUUCAGCGGCGGACGGGUGAGUAAUGCAUAGGAAUCUGCCUGGUAGUGGGGGAUAACGUCCGGAAACGGGCGCUAAUACCGCAUACGUCAUGAGGGAGAAAGUGGGGGAUCUUCGGACCUAACGCUAUCAGAUGAGCCUAGGUCGGAUUAGCUAGUUGGUGGGGUAAAGGCCUACCAAGGCGACGAUCCGUAACUGGUCUGAGAGGAUGAUCAGUCACACUGGAACUGAGACACGGUCCAGACUCCUACGGGAGGCAGCAGUGGGGAAUGUUGGGCGAUGGGCGAAAGCCUGAUGGAGCGAGGCCGCGUGUGUGAAGAAGGUCUUCGGAUUGUAAAGCUCUGUGAGUUGGGAGGAAGGGCAGUGUGUUGAUGUCUUGCUGUUUUGACGUUACCUACAGAGUAAGCACGGGCUAACUUCGUG
rnacentral:rRNA from 1 species